AACGAACGCUGGCGGCAUGCCUAACACAUGCAAGUCGAACGAUUGCCUUCGGGUGAUAGUGGCGCACGGGUGCGUAACGCGUGGGAAUCUGCCCUUAGGUUCGGAAUAACAGCUGGAAACGGCUGCUAAUACCGGAUGAUAUCGCGAGAUCAAAGAUUUAUCGCCUGAGGAUGAGCCCGCGUUGGAUUAGGUAGUUGGCGGGGUAAAGGCCUACCAAGCCGACGAUCCAUAGCUGGUCUGAGAGGAUGAUCAGCCACACUGGGACUGAGACACGGCCCAGACUCCUACGGGAGGCAGCAGUGGGGAAUAUUGGACAAUGGGCGCAAGCCUGAUCCAGCAAUGCCGCGUGAGUGAUGAAGGCCCUAGGGUUGUAAAGCUCUUUUACCCGGGAAGAUAAUGACUGUACCGGGAGAAUAAGCCCCGGCUAACUCCGUG
rnacentral:rRNA from 1 species